rnacentral:rRNA from 1 species
GACGAACGCUGGCGGCGUGCUUAACACAUGCAAGUCGAACGGAAAGGCCCUGCUUUUGUGGGGUGCUCGAGUGGCGAACGGGUGAGUAACACGUGAGUAACCUGCCCUUGACUUUGGGAUAACUUCAGGAAACUGGGGCUAAUACCGGAUAGGAGCUCCUGCUGCAUGGUGGGGGUUGGAAAGUUUCGGCGGUUGGGGAUGGACUCGCGGCUUAUCAGCUUGUUGGUGGGGUAGUGGCUUACCAAGGCUUUGACGGUUAGCCGGCCUGAGAGGGUGACCGGCCACAUUGGGACUGAGAUACGGCCCAGACUCCUACGGGAGGCAGCAGUGGGGAAUAUUGCACAAUGGGCGGAAGCCUGAUGCAGCAACGCCGCGUGCGGGAUGACGGCCUUCGGGUUGUAGACCGCUUUCGCCUGUGACGAAGCGUGAGUGACGGUAAUGGGUAAAGAAGCACCGGCUAACUACGUG